UACGAAGGGUGCGAGCGUUGUUCGGAAUUAUUGGGCGUAAAGCGCACGUAGGCGGCCUUGUAAGUCUCACUGUGAAAGCCCGGGGCUCAACCCCGGGAGGCCAGGGGAUACUGCGAGGCUCGAGACAAGUAGAGGUUGGUAGAAUUCCGGGUGUAGCGGUGGAAUGCGUAGAGAUCCGGAGGAAUACCAGAGGCGAAGGCGGCCAACUGGGCUUGUUCUGACGCUGAGGUGCGAAAGCGUGGGGAGCGAACAGG
rnacentral:rRNA from 1 species